AACCCUGAUCCCACCCCUGCCGGGUUGUUGAAAGAAGCCCCUCGGGUUUUAAAAGCAUUUUCAGUGGGGAAGAAAGCCUUGGGAUUAAUACUCCCGAGGAAGGACAUCACCCACAGAAGAAGCACCGGCUAACUUCGUGCCAGCAGCCGCGGUAAUACGGAGGGUGCGAGCGUUAAUCGGAAUUACUGGGCGUAAAGCGCGCGUAGGCGGUCUGAUAAGCCGGUUGUGAAAGCCCCGGGCUCAACCUGGGAACGGCAUCCGGAACUGUCAGGCUAGAGUGCAGGAGAGGAAGGUAGAAUUCCCGGUGUAGCGGUGAAAUGCGUAGAGAUCGGGAGGAAUACCAGUGGCGAAGGCGGCCUUCUGGACUGACACUGACGCUGAGGUGCGAAAGCGUGGGUAGCAAACAGGAUUAGAUACCCUGGUAGUCCACGCCGUAAACGAUGUCGACUAGCCGUUGGGGUCCUUGAGACCUUUGUGGCGCAGUUAACGCGAUAAGUCGACCGCCUGGGGAGUACGGCCGCAAGGUUAAAACUCAAAUGAAUUGACGGGGGCCCGCACAAGCGGUGGAGCAUGUGGUUUAAUUCGAUGCAACGCGAAGAACCUUACCUACCCUUGACAUCGAGAGAACUUGGCAGAGAUGCCUUGGUGCCUUCGGGAACUCUCAGACAGGUGCUGCAUGGCUGUCGUCAGCUCGUGUUGUGAAAUGUUGGGUUAAGUCCCGUAACGAGCGCAACCCUUGUCCUUAUUUGCCAGCGCGUAAUGGCGGGAACUCUAAGGAGACUGCCGGUGACAAACCGGAGGAAGGUGGGGACGACGUCAAGUCAUCAUGGCCCUUACGGGUAGGGCUACACACGUGCUACAAUGGACGGUACAAAGGGUUGCAAAGCCGCGAGGUGGAGCUAAUCCCAUAAAGCUGUUCUCAGUCCGGAUCGGAGUCUGCAACUCGACUCCGUGAAGUCGGAAUCGCUAGUAAUCGUGAAUCAGAAUGUCACGGUGAAUACGUUCCCGGGCCUUGUACACACCGCCCGUCACACCAUGGGAGUGGACUGCACCAGAA
rnacentral:rRNA from 1 species